rnacentral:misc_RNA from 1 species
GGAAAUUGAAACUACCUCCAAGCCAAAGAGCACUAUUUUACUUUCUAACACAUUGAUUGUGCAAAUCCAUCCUCAACAUUAACACUCCCCUACUCUAGUCCAUCAGCCAAAACAAUUGUUUUCAUCACACAUGUUGAAAUUCAAACCAUCUCAAUGGAAUUGCUCUCAUCUUCCCCCAAGAGGUUCCACAUGCAGUAGAAAUGUAGUCUAGAUCUUUAACUAAAAAAAAAAGGAAGAGCA